AAAACUUAAAGGCAUGGAUUAAUUCUAAAUCAGGCCGCGUUACCAUAAACUGGUCUUACUAUAUGAAAAUUAUGUUGGGUGUGAUAUGGUCCUAUUUUUUCCUGUUUCCAUUUAUAACCCGUUCAAGACUGAAUUGACCUGUUGAAAUAAACAUUGUGCCAUUUCUUAAAGAAAAAAAAGCUCAAUCUUACAGCUCUAACCCUGCAAAACCAAGAAAUAAUGAUCCAAUGAUAAAAAAAGAUCAUGCAGCCUUUCGGGAAAAAUAUUUAAUCCUAUAUUUUCUUCCUAAAUCAAUAGACCUAUGAUCCUUUGUAGACAUAUUCAGUGCAAGUUAUUAGAUUAGAGUAGGUAUCAGUAUCUUCAUGUCCUACACAUCAUGACCAGAAUGGUCUAUUGUGCAUCUACAUUGUUGUCUAACGCUCCUCCUGUCUUAAGGCUUUUUACCAGAUUACAAAGCUUUUUAAAAGAAUCUCUUAUCAUUCAGGCCCAAGGAAUCUUGGUCUACAUAAAUAAGCAUUUACACCAUCAGAAGACAUGUUCCACUGCUUCUUUCUGGCUAAUUAUGCACAGGCUUGCUUCUGCCACUCUCAGUCUAUACGUACACCUCUAGAGUAACUAUUAUGCUAGUCCGAACACAUCCUAGUAGUUCCACUGUUAAUUUUUAUGAUAGUCCUUUUAUGAACUAUUUUGCAUACUUGGAUUCCCAUUUCUUUUUCUAAGGGUGUUGAGCCAUUUUUACUUCUUUUUUUUUUUACAUAUAUUUUCAUAAAGUGCUAUUUAAACAGUGCGUUAAGUUGUUCCGUGAAUAUUAAUUCCGUAUAGUUUGCUGGUUCACAGUAGCUAUUUUUAGGCGAGGAUUGUUGCCUUCAGAGGGAGGGAUUUACAAAUGGUAAAUCAAUUCUCUCUGCUGGCAGUCAGGGUAGUGAGCAUGAUAGUAUUAACAUAUUGCCCCAGCAUCUACAUUUGAUGAAAACAAGAAAAAUGAAAAUAUAACUCGAUCAGCAGUUAUUAAUAAUUAAAUAAAUUAUGUGGACACUCUCCAUGGAAACGUAAUUUUGUCUUCUAUAAAUAUUUGUUUCAACCAGAAGCAACAAUUUGCUAAUAAAGACAUUUCUUUUUUUUUGAGAGGGAGGUCAGUGGAUCACUAUCUUAAAGGUAAGGUGAAACACAUUCAACUUGUUAAUGCAUUUUUUUUUUUAAGUGAUUGUCUUAUAAAAAAAUUUCUUCAAUUUUUUUGUUUUUAAAUCACUUAAUGAUCCUUGGAGGCCACCUUUUGUAAGAGGAACCACCUGAUCCAUUAAUUUAAAUCCAUUUAAUUUAAAUUUGUUCCUUGGGUAAAGUACCUUUGAGAUACAGGAAGGAUGUUGUGAUCGAUCAACAGUCCUAUUGGACCCCCUGAACCACUCAUACAAUUAACUGUUGAUAUAUUGACUCUCUGUAUUAAUGGAAGACAAAAGCUUGCAAUAUGUGGCCUUCCAUAACUGGGAUUCACUGAUUCAUUAUAUUAUUUACUGGAAUCCUUUUUCUAUCCUUCCUUGACUCUCCUGCUUCUUUUCAAAAUUGUAUUUUCCGCCGUCCUUGAAAUGUACGAUUUCUGGCCUUAGGCACCCCGCUCAUCCAUUGGUUCAUCUAUGUUAACGGGCUGAAACAAACUUUCAAACAGCAGGUAAUUUCCUUGAGGUCUUAUCCUCUCAGAAUGUUCCCUGUAAACCCCAUCUUACAGCCUUUUCCAUGUUCCACAGGUCACCUGAUGAGCUUAACACUCACUUUGUUUUAUCCUUGUAAUCUGUCGGUCCACUUAACCUUAUUCAUUACCAUUCCUAAUCACCCUCCGUUUGAACUAACAGCUUAUUUUCACCUGAAGCCUUAGUUGAUGUUAUUAUAUGCUGUCGGUUGUGGCAGAAAUGCCUAAUAGAGUGCGUCUGUCUAUUAUCCUUCCUGUUCUACAUUUUUUCCUUAUAUGAAUACUUCCUAAAGUGCACUAAUGUGAUAGUUCUAAAUCAUAUUCUUAAUCAUUCUUUCCCGAACCGGUCCCGUGUCCAUUCUCUCGAACCACGGUAAACCUCUUGUUAAAUUAGUCCAUUUGUAAAAUGUCUGCUUGCUUGGACAAGUUUGAUCUCCUUCCCACUAAGAUUUGGUCUCUUUCUUGGCAUUUACACAAAUUUCUCUGCUCUAAAUAUCUUAAAUUUGACUUUAAAUUCAAUCAGAGUUUUUUUAUUUUGAAAAUUAUAUAUUUUAUGUAUACAAUAUCUGUGUAAACUAAUUAUUUUCCUGUUCAAACUAGUCUGAUAGUGAUCAUCUGUACUCACAAUGGGGUAUUUCUGUUGUGGAAAACAGAAUACCAAACUGGAUCUGAUAUCAUCCAUAAAAAACAUCAAAUUUAAAAAAACGUUCAAUUUACUUCUAUGUUUGAAUAAUAUAAGAAAGGCUGUUUCAAAAUGGACCCGCAAAGUGACACCUGCACAUGUUGAAAAAGUUAAACAACAAUCAAAAGAAGAAACGACAAGAACAACUGUGGUCUACAGCAUACAACCACCAAUAGGAACAAUUUCUCCUUGUGUAGAAGAGGUGAGAUCUUCUAAAAAAAAUGACAACAUGAUUUCGAUGAGCAAUAAGAUCGCUCCAAACUGGGCUCAUCUAUCAAAAUAUGAACACAGCACAAAGAGGUUUCUUCUGAUUCAGGCAAGAAACUUGAUGCAGAUUUUGAUAAGUGAAAUAACCACACAGUAUCCAUCUUUUAUCAAGUCUUUUUCACUACGUUAUUUUCCUCUUUCAAGCUUAUUGAAAACCUCAACAAUUGACACACGAAAGUAUAACUUGGAACACAAAAUUUUGUCUAAGAGGAUCGGGCAAAAGAUUAAACCACAAUAUAAAUCGUUCGGCUUCUUGGAUAUUUUAAAAUUUGAUUUACUUGUCUAAAUAUCAAAUAUAAAUUUUGGCAG